GACGAACGCUGGCGGCGUGCUUAACACAUGCAAGUCGAACGGAAAGGCCCUGCUUUUGUGGGGUUCUCGAGUGGCGAACGUGUGUGUAACACGUGAGUAACCUGCCCUUGACUUUGUGAUAACUUCAGGAAACUGGUGCUAAUACCUGAUAGGAGCUCCUGCUGCAUGGUGGGGGUUGGAAAUUUUCGUCGGUUGGGGAUGGACUCGCGGGUUAUCAGCUUGUUGGUUGGGUAGUGGCUUACCAAGGAUUUGAAGGGUAGGCGGCCUGAGAGGGUUACCGGACACAUUGGGACUGAGAUAGGGAGCAGACUCGUACGGGAGGCAGCAGUGGGGAAUAUUGCACAAUGGGCGGAAGCGUGAGGAAGAAACGCAGGGUGCGGGAUGACGGCCUUCGGGUUGUAAACAGCAUUAGGCUGUGACGAAGCGUGAGUGACGGUAAUGGGUAAAGAAGCACCGGCUAACUACGUG
rnacentral:rRNA from 1 species